rnacentral:rRNA from 1 species
AGUGAACGCUGGCGGAAGGCUUUACACAUGCAAGUCGAACGGCAGCACGGGGGCAGCCCGGGUUGCGAGUUGCGGACGGGUGAGUAAUACAUCGGAACGUGCCCGGUCGUGGGGGAGAACGUAGCGAAAGAUACGCUAAUACCGCAUACGAUCUGAGGAUGAAAGCGGGGGACCUUCGGGCCUCGCGCGAUCGGAGCAGCCGAUGUCAGAUUAGGUAGUUGGUGGGGUAAAGGCCUACCAAGCCGACGAUCUGUAGCUGGUCUGAGAGGAUGACCAGCCACACUGGGACUGAGACACGGCCCAGACUCCUACGGGAGGCAGCAGUGGGGAAUUUUGGACAAUGGGCGCAAGCCUGAUCCAGCCAUUCCGCGUGCAGGAAGAAGGCCUUCGGGUUGUAAACUGCUUUUGUACGGAAAGAAAAGGCUCUGGCUAAUACCUGGGGCUCAUGACGGUACCGUAAGAAUAAGCACCGGCUAACUACGUG